AGUCGAACGGCAGCACGAGAGAGCUUGCUCUCUUGGUGGCGAGUGGCGGACGGGUGAGUAAUAUAUCGGAACGUGCCCAGUAGCGGGGGAUAACUACUCGAAAGAGUGGCUAAUACCGCAUACGCCCUACGGGGGAAAGGGGGGGAUCGCAAGACCUCUCACUAUUGGAGCGGCCGAUAUCGGAUUAUCUAGUUGGUGGGGUAAAGGCUCACCAAGGCAACGAUCCGUACCUGGUUUGAGAGGACGACCAGCCACACUGGGACUGAGACACGGCCCACACUCCUACGGGAGGCAGCAGUGGGGAAUUUUGGACAAUGGGGGAAACCCUGAUCCAGCCAUCCCGCGUGUAUGAUGAAGGCCUUCGGGUUGUAAAGUACUUUUGGCAGAAAAAAAAAGGUAUCCCCUAAUACGGGAUACUGCUGACGGUAUCUGCAGAAUAAGCACCGGCUAACUACGUGCCAGCAGCCGCGGUAAUACAUAGGGUGCAAGCGUUAAUCGGAAUUACUGGGCGUAAAGCGUGUGUA
rnacentral:rRNA from 1 species